GAUGAACGCUGGCGGCGUGCCUAAUACAUGCAAGUCGAGCGAACAGACGAGGAGCUUGCUCCUCUGACGUUAGCGGCGGACGGGUGAGUAACACGUGGAUAACCUACUUCUAAGACUGGGAUAACUACGGGAAACCGGAGCUAAUACCACAUCAUAUAAUGAACCGCAUGGUUCAAUAGAUCAAGACAGUUUUGCUGUCACUUAUAGAUGGAUCCGCGCCGCAUUAGCUAGUUGGUAAGGUAACGGCUUACCAAGGCAACGAUGCGUAGCCGACCUGAGAGGGUGAUCGGCCACACUGGAACUGAGACACGGUCCAGACUCCUACGGGAGGCAGCAGUAGGGAAUCUUCCGCAAUGGGCGAAAGCCUGACGGAGCAACGCCGCGUGAGUGAUGAAGGUCUUCGGAUCGUAAAACUCUGUUAUUAGGGAAGAACAAAUGUGUAAGUAACUAUGCACGUCUUGACGGUACCUAAUCAGAAAGCCACGGCUAACUACGUG
rnacentral:rRNA from 1 species